UACGUAGGGUCCGAGCGUUGUCCGGAAUUAUUGGGCGUAAAGCGCGCGUAGGCGGCCUUUUAAGUCUGAUGUGAAAUCUUGCGGCUCAACCGCAAGCGGUCAUUGGAAACUGGAGGGCUUGAGUACAGAAGAGGAGAGUGGAAUUCCACGUGUAGCGGUGAAAUGCGUAGAUAUGUGGAGGAACACCAGUGGCGAAGGCGACUCUCUGGUCUGUAACUGACGCUGAGGCGCGAAAGCGUGGGGAGCAAACAGG
rnacentral:rRNA from 1 species